CCUACGGGUGGCAGCAGUGGGGAAUAUUGGGCAAUGGGCGCAAGCCUGACCCAGCAACGCCGCGUGAAGGAAGAAGGCUUUCGGGUUGUAAACUUCUUUUCUGAGGGACGAAGAAAGUGACGGUACCUCAGGAAUAAGCCACGGCUAACUACGUGCCAGCAGCCGCGGUAAUACGUAGGUGGCAAGCGUUAUCCGGAUUUACUGGGUGUAAAGGGCGUGUAGCCGGGUUGACAAGUCAGAUGUGAAAUCCUGCGGCUUAACCGCAGAACUGCAUUUGAAACUGUUGAUCUUGAGUACUGGAGAGGCAGACGGAAUUCCUAGUGUAGCGGUGAAAUGCGUAGAUAUUAGGAGGAACACCAGGGGCGAAGGCGGUCUGCUGGACAGCAACUGACGGUGAGGCGCGAAAGCGUGGGGAGCAAACAGGAUUAGAUACCCGAGUAGUC
rnacentral:rRNA from 1 species